AUGCAGCACCUGACUCUCCAGGGCUCCUGCCCCGCCCUGAUGUCGUUGGUUGCCCCCAACAAGGAGUCGCAUCUACCCGUGGCGCCCACGGGAGUGGGGACAGUGGAGUCACGAGGUGAACGGACAUGCCCAAGGCCACACAGUUCCUAACGGUCUGAGCCAAAACUUGAAUGGCCAGCUAGUUCCAGGAAUCCCCUCUCCUCACCCAGUUACUUCUAGCCAGGUCCGCUCCGCCAGGAGCUUCAAUCCACCAGAGGCACUCAACUACAGAUAUCCCUCGCAUCGCCCUAGGGAAUGAUUCGUCCAGUGGGAGACCCGGCAGAAGGAAUCCGGAAUGUGGACUAACCCCGCGGGGCUGCCCCUGGAGACGAGGCCUGUGAUUGUCCAGGUCUGUCUGUGCCUGGAGGGUAAGUCAGGAGAAGGGGCGAGACCACUGUCCUCCGAGCCACACUCUCCACGACUCUAUCUGCCCGAUUCCUGUGCUACUGCUUAGCGGGUCCCAAACCAGCGUGGGGCGCAGAGCCCUAAAAUAAUACACGCACCUCUUUCUCUUGUUUGCAUCCACUCAAGGUGAGAUACCACGAAAUGCAACCGGAAGAAAU